ensembl:lncRNA
UGGGCCUCUGGGGGAGGGAAACACAGGCACUGGGCAGAGGUCUGUUGGCUGUGUGAGCACCUUCUGAACAAAGGCUUUUGCAGACAGGCAGCACACCAGGCUUCCCUGUCCUUCACUGUCUCCCGGAGCUUGCUCAAACUCAUGUCCACUGAGUUGGUGAUGCCAUCCAACCAUCUUGUCUUCUGUCGUUAUUGGGCGGUGCCAUCUGAAAACCAGGAGUCAAACACAAUUCCGUGAAUUCAGAUUGUUGACAGUCACGAGCACCGUAGGACAAACAUCACACAGAUCCACAUUCGGAAGGUUUUUCGCCUCAGGUAAAGUACUACAUUACUUUUUUUGCAUCACAUUCUAAGCUCUGAUUAAAUUCUCAUUUCUGUGUUAGACUGAAAGCACUUUAAACUAAGACUAAGUUUUGAGUACUACUUGUGUGUGCGUGCUCAGUUGUGUCCGGCUUGUUUGCAGCCCCACAGACUGUAGCCCACCAGGCUCCUCGGUCCAUGGGGUUUUCCAGGCAAGAAUACUGGAGUGGGUUGCCAUUUCCUUCUCCAGGGGAUCUUUUUGACCAACACAUUCUGGCCACUUUCUACCCUUUUGUAGACAAACGUUGAUUUUAAUCACUGAGUUGAUGUGCUGUCUUCUGUUUAUACACCAAGACAUGGCAGGUACUGAGGGAAUCCAGAAAGGGGGGCUGAACGCUGCUCCCCAGAGCUCCUCGCGCCUAAGCCACUCUGCUUCUCUGGCUCUCGUGAGCCCCUCCCUCUCGUCCUCGGUGUCUGUGCUAUGCUGUGGCACCGAAAGGGGUUGCCUUCAUUUAGUAAACAAAAAUAUAGGAUGCCCAGUUAAAUUUGAAUUUCAGAUAAACAACAAACAAUUGUGUCGUACAAAUUUGUCUCAUGCGAUAACCGGCAUCCUGUAUUUUAUCUGGCAUCCCUAGGCUAUGUUUAGAUUGUCUGCCAGGAAAACCUCUGCCUUCUCAGUAGGGUCCCCUAGAGUCCAUUACACAAGACCUGCACACCAACUUACCCAUGCCUGUGGCCUGCAGUAUAUAGUAAAUGCCUCUGCUGUUUUUUUCCCACAUGUAAGACCCAG